rnacentral:rRNA from 1 species
CCCUUAGAUGUUCUGGGCCGCACGCGCGCUACACUGAUGCAUUCAACGAGUCUAAAACCUGCUCUGAUAGGGGUGGGUAAUCUUUUGAAUGUGCAUCGUGAUUGGGAUAGAUGAUUGCAAUUUUUCAUCUUCAACGAGGAAUGCCUAGUAAACGCAAGUCAUCAGCUUGCAUUGAUUACGUCCCUGCCCUUUGUACACACCGCCCGUCGCUCCUACCGAUUGAAUGAUCCGAUGAAUAUCAUGGAUUGAGGAUGCAAGUAGGUUCGCCUAUCUUCCUCUUCGAGAAGUGAAGUAAAUCUUAUCAUUUAGAGGAAGGAGAAGUCGUAACA